GGUUGACCUCGGAUCAGGUAGGGAUACCCGCUGAACUUAAGCAUAUCAAUAAGCGGAGGAAAAGAAACCAACCGGGAUUGCCUCAGUAACGGCGAGUGAAGCGGCAAGAGCUCAAAUUUGAAAGCUGGCUCCUUCGGAGUCCGCAUUGUAAUUUGCAGAGGAUGCUUUGGGUGCGGCCCCCGUCUAAGUGCCCUGGAACGGGCCGUCAGAGAGGGUGAGAAU
rnacentral:rRNA from 1 species